GGAGUUAGCCGGUGCUUCUUCUGCGAGUAACGUCACAGAUGUAAGGGUAUUAACUUACACCCUUUCCUCCUCGCUGAAAGUGCUUUACAACCCGAAGGCCUUCUUCACACACGCGGCAUGGCUGCAUCAGGGUUUCCCCCAUUGUGCAAUAUUCCCCACUGCUGCCUCCCGUAGGAGUCUGGGCCGUGUCUCAGUCCCAGUGUGGCUGAUCAUCCUCUCAGACCAGCUAGGGAUCGUCGCCUAGGUGAGCCUUUACCUCACCUACUAGCUAAUCCCACCUGGGCUUAUCCAUCAGCGCAAGGCCCGAAGGUCCCCUGCUUUCCCCCGUAGGGCGUAUGCGGUAUUAGCAGUCGUUUCCAACUGUUAUCCCCCACAAAUGGGCAAAUUCCCAGGCAUUACUCACCCGUCCGCCGCUCGUCAUCUUCAAAAGCAAGCUUUUGAAAUGUUACCGCUCGACUUGCAUGUGUUAGGCCUGCCGCCAGCGUUCAAUCUGAACCAAGAUCAAAUUCUGA
rnacentral:rRNA from 1 species